rnacentral:rRNA from 1 species
GACGAACGCUGGCGGCGUGCCUAAUACAUGCAAGUAGAACGCAGUUGCGAACGGGUGAGUAACGCGUAGGUAACUGCCUCAUAGCGGGGGAUAACUAUUGGAAACGAUAGCUAAUACCGCAUACUGUGGGAUGGACCUGCGUUGUAUUAGCUAGUUGGUGAGGUAAAGGCUCACCAAGGCGACGAUACAUAGCCGACCGUAGAGGGGGAGCCGCAAAAAUGGGACUGAGAAACGGCCCAGACUCCUACGGGAGGGAGCAGUAGGGAAUCUUCGGCCAUGGAGGGAAGGCUGACCGAGCAACGCCGGGGGAGUGAAGGAGGUUUUCGGAUCGUAAAGCUCUGUUGUUAGAGAAGCGUUAACUAACCAGAAAGGGACGGCUAACUACGUGCCAGCAGCCGCGGUAAUAC